rnacentral:tRNA from 1 species
GUUUUUAUAGUUUAUAAUAAAAUUUUGAUCUUGUAAAUCAAUGAACGAAAAUUUCGUAAAAUCU